UUUUCCGAGUGGAGGGUAAAUAGAUAAAAAGGAAAAUCUCAAAACAGUGUCUCUUCGACUUCUUUCCCGGAUCUCAACCCUGCGUUUCUCCUCUCACCUCUCGGCUCUGCAUUUCUCCUCCUCUUCGGCUCGUAUUCUCUUCACCGACGCCCAACAUCUUCCUCUCUUCACGGAAAGAGAGAAGGCGAAGGACGCAAUAAUUCUUUUAGAUCCGUGGCACUUUUUCUCCGGAGAAGCAAGGCACCAACAAACUAUCAAGGGUUAGAUUUCCAUACACGUGCACUACAACAAAGUAAAGUCCAUCUUUCUUGGAAUGAGGAUGAGCCUCAGCGUUUGAACACCUUAAGAUGGAAAUUAAAUGAUGAUCAGCCCCACAUGAGGUUUGCAGAUAAGUGAUUGUCUGGUUCUGAUAAGUUAGGAGCAAGGAAUCUCCAUAUUUAUAAAAGCUUGUGGCAGAGAGAAGCUCAGACCAUAAAAAAUGGGGGUUAACAGAGCCUGUGCUAUUGGAUGAGGGUGGUUCAGUCGAGGCAGUUCUUGGAAAGAAUCCUGAGGUCCAUUAUAUUUAUGUUUGUACCAAGGAUAAGCGCACAACCGGGAUUGGAGCAUGAUAGCGACUGUUGAUAGAAGAAAGUGAAGAAUGCGUUUGUGAGUUGGUGUUGAGAUUUUUAUCCUCCAUACUUGGGUAUUCCAAGAGUGUGCUAUUUGUUUGUUUGUUUUUUUUUUUUUUAUAGAUAGAGUGUGUUGUUGUUAGAACUUGAAACAUUUGAUACAAAUGUAUUAUUAUUACCUUACCGUACUCUUGAAUUUGUAUUUCAACUUACCGGAAAAACCGGGAACCACAAAUCUUCACUUCUUUCAUUACAGGAAGUAGCAGAUAAACUUAUGCUUCAAGUGUUUCGGGUCCUCACAUUAUUUUUUUCUUCAUUUGUUGUAUAUGCCCAUUUGUGAAUUUCAUAACUGUGAUUUUGAAGGUCAAA